UACGGGGGGGGCAAGCGUUGUCCGGAUUUAUUGGGCGUAAAGAGCUCGUAGGCGGCUCAGUAAGUCGGGUGUGAAAACUCCAGGCUCAACCUGGAGACGCCACCUGAUACUGCUGUGGCUAGAGUCCGGUAGGGGAGCAUGGAAUUCCUGGUGUAGCGGUGAAAUGCGCAGAUAUCGGGAGGAACACCGGUGGCGAAGGCGGUUCUCUGGGCCUCACCUGACGCUGAGGAGCGAAAGCGUGGGGAGCGAACAGG
rnacentral:rRNA from 1 species